rnacentral:rRNA from 1 species
AUUGAACGCUGGCGGCAGGCCUAACACAUGCAAGUCGAGCGGAUGAAGGGAGCUUGCUCCUGGAUUCAGCGGCGGACGGGUGAGUAAUGCCUAGGAAUCUGCCUGGUAGUGGGGGAUAACGUCCGGAAACGGGCGCUAAUACCGCAUACGUCCUGAGGGAGAAAGUUGGGGAUCUUCGGACCUCACGCUAUCAGAUGAGCCUAGGUCGGAUUAGCUAGUUGGUGGGGUAAAGGCCUACCAAGGCGACGAUCCGUAACUGGUCUGAGAGGAUGAUAAGUCACACUGGAAGUGAGCCACGGUCCAGACUCCUACGGGAGGCAGCAGUGGGGAAUAUUGGACAAUGGGCGAAAGCCUGAUCCAGCCAUGCCGCGUGUGUGAAGAAGGUCUUCGGAUUGUAAAGCACUUUAAGUUGGGAGGAAGGGCAGUAAGUUAAUACCUUGCUGUUUUGACGUUAACAACAGAAUAAGCACCGGCUAACUUCGUG